UAUUAUAACGGAUUUUCUCCUUCUCCCUUUCCUACUCCAUUCUCCUCAAACAGUCUUUUUGUUCCUUUUCGGGUCUUGGACCAUAGCUCUUCCAAUGAAUAGGUAAACACGAUCUUACUUGAUGACCGAAUAAGAUCUCAUUUGGUGAUCCGCCAUCUCGCUUAGUGUGUUUCGAAAUUCCAGGAUUCCAUGAUGUUCAUUACUUUGAGGUAAAGGGGAUGAAGAAGGUCCCCAUGAUACUUCCCACAUAUUCAAUAAUGUCUGGCAUUCCCUGGAACUAAACUGAGGGCCUUGAUCUGUUCUUAUUUUCACAGGAAUCCGGGGUUCAGAAAAUAUUUUCCUUAAUGUCACGUUUACUUCUCCCGAAGGUGGAACUCUUUUGAAUUUCUCUACGUAAGGAUAUCUUGAAAGACGAUCUCCAUAUACCAAGUAAUGUUUUCCUCCAUACUCAAACAAAUCUGCAGACGCGCUCUCAAAUGGCCUCAUUGAUAUCGGGUCUCUCAUCAUCGUUUCUUUUGGUAAACUAGGCCAAUAAAUCGUCUGCAACUCUUCUUUUCGUCUUCUCGAUACCUUGAUGUGAACUGUGCAAUCCCUUAAGAACUUGAACUUGCAUAUCUUUUAGAAAUACCAGCCUAUUACAAUAAAAAACAAGACCAUUUUCAGUUCUUAAACCAUUUAAUAUCUUGGGAAAUGGUUGUACUGAACCGUUUAUACAAUUGUAUUCAACUGCAUUGACUAAAUCUUUAUAUGUUUGA
rnacentral:lncRNA from 1 species